rnacentral:lncRNA from 1 species
UAGUACCUCGUGCCUCUUCCAACUCCACCGGAUAGGGAGCAAAUAGAGUAUAGAGCAUAGAAAAGUAAAAUCAAAAGAAAUGAAGAUCAGAAUGUUCACUGAGUGGUUAAAGGAAGAAAUUCAAAAAUGAGAAAAUGAAUGACAAGAUAAAUGGAAGUAUAUAGGAAGCUUGUGAAGAGCCAAAUGAAGUUUCGAUCACUUGAAAACACACCUUAAGGAUAAAAUCAGUGUAAAAUUAUAUAUAAAUAGGGAGAGUUUAUUUGAAAAGAAUUGAUUUUGAUCCUUGACAUGCUUGCUCUUAAUGUUUUAAUACAUGAUGUUAUGACUUAAUGCAUAUAAUGUUUUGCAUGUGACAUGAUGUUUUGAAUUAUGUGUUUUCAAUAUUUGAAUAACCAAGAUCUUUUCUAAAUAUAAUUUGUAAUGCUUCAUGCCUAGAUAAUUUGAUUGAAAUAUGUUUCUAUCAACAACAUCAUCAUUUUGUUUUAGUGAAUAUUUUUUUUAAAAAAUAAAAGAAAAGAACAAUCUGAAUUUGUAAAUUAGGCAGAAUGAAUUAAUUCGGAUUUAUCUUCCAUUUUGCCUAACAUUGGUACAUAAUAUUCUGAUACAUGUUAAAAUAUCCUCCAAUUUGUACCAAAACUCAAUAUUAAAAAUAAAGAUUCUGAAUGUGCUCUGAUGUGCUUGAAAUAUGUAUUUUCAGUCUUAAUGACUUAAG